AUGGCGCCCUGCCGGCCGGCGAGCCCAAGCCUGCCGCCGCGCCGACCGAGUCUCCUUCCACCUCGCCUCUCUGCAACUCCCGUGGAUGCCGUCCAGGGAACCCAUGGCGUCGUCGUCUCAAGGCCGUCGCCGGUGGGAUCCUGCGUCCCUCCGCCAUCUUCCUGGUCAAGUGACGCCAGGGCCGACCCCGCCGCGUUCCUCUACUCCUCUCGCCUCAAGCACCUGCCGCUUAACACCACCUUCGUCUUCUGCUGCUGCUUCACCGAUGAGCACAGGCCGCCGCCGCGUUGCUUUGCCUUCGCCUCCCGGCUUCGUCCGCGAGAACGGUUACAGCCACUUGGGUUCGACAAGUUGCCGAGUACCACUGCAUUUACCAUGUACAUCUACACCGAGACGAGACCGCCAAGAUGCAUCCUGACGUCGCCGAAGACACGUGAACAUCUACACGACGAACCGAGAACAACUACCGUGGACGUGCAUUUUGCCAAGUACCACUACCGCCGUCGCAAGAACGGGAGCGGAAAGUCCGAAGACCCUAAGUACCACGACACCGAUGACAUGAACAUCUACGGAAUGUGUACGACUACGCGAUGUGACGCCAAGUUCGAUGACGACCGUGUACCCCUACCGCUCCUCGAACAUGAACGUCUACUUCCUCUUCGACUCGUGAACGUCUACUUCCACUACUUCCACUACGAACGUCCCGAGAACGUCUACUUCCUCUACUUGGCACCGAUCGAGAACCGUCCCGUUUGCACACUUCGAAGGUAUAACCCGAGACGACGUCCGUGUAACGAAUGCUUGCGAUGUUUGGGAUGCUCAUGUUUGCACCGUGUCCAGAUUGUCACUCGUUUCCUUGUCGCCAACUCGUGGGACACCCGGUAUCCGGGAGUGCCCCGCCAUCUUUUGCACGCAUACGCAUACUUCUCCUUUGCAUCGGUAUCUCAAUCGAGUUACCGGAACCGAAACGCUGCCGUGGCACCGUUGUCGUUACCGUCACCGUGGCACCCUUUCUUUCCACCACGAUGA
rnacentral:rRNA from 1 species